rnacentral:tRNA from 1 species
GAGGGUGUAGCUCAGUGAUAGAGCACAUGCUUUGCAUGCACAAGGUACUGGGUUCAAUCCCCAGUACCUCCA